rnacentral:rRNA from 1 species
CCUACGGGAGGCAGCAGUGAGGAAUAUUGGUCAAUGGGCGAGAGCCUGAACCAGCCAAGUCGCGUGAAGGAUGAAGGAUCUAUGGUUUGUAGACUUCUUUUAUAAGGGAAUAAAGUGUGGGACGUGUCCUAUUUUGUAUGUACCUUAUGAAUAAGGAUCGGCUAACUCCGUGCCAGCAGCCGCGGUAAUACGGAGGAUCCGAGCGUUAUCCGGAUUUAUUGGGUUUAAAGGGUGCGUAGGCGGCCUUUUAAGUCAGCGGUGAAAGUCUGUGGCUCAACCAUAGAAUUGCCGUUGAAACUGGGGGGCUUGAGUAUGUUUGAGGCAGGCGGAAUGCGUGGUGUAGCGGUGAAAUGCUUAGAUAUCACGCAGAACCCCGAUUGCGAAGGCAGCCUGCCAAGCCAUGACUGACGCUGAUGCACGAAAGCGUGGGGAUCAAACAGGAUUAGAUACCCUUGUAGUC